GCAAGUCGAACGGUAGCACAGAAGAGCUUGCUCUCGGGUGACGAGUGGCGGACGGGUGAGUAAUGUCUGGGAAACUGCCUGAUGGAGGGGGAUAACUACUGGAAACGGUAGCUAAUACCGCAUAACGUCGCAAGACCAAAGAGGGGGACCUUCGGGCCUCUUGCCAUCAGAUGUGCCCAGAUGGGAUUAGCUAGUAGGUGGGGUAACGGCUCACCUAGGCGACGAUCCCUAGCUGGUCUGAGAGGAUGACCAGCCACACUGGAACUGAGACACGGUCCAGACUCCUACGGGAGGCAGCAGUGGGGAAUAUUGCACAAUGGGCGCAAGCCUGAUGCAGCCAUGCCGCGUGUAUGAAGAAGGCCUUCGGGUUGUAAAGUACUUUCAGCGGGGAGGAAGGUGU
rnacentral:rRNA from 1 species